AUUGAACGCUGGCGGCAUGCUUUACACAUGCAAGUCGAACGGCAGCGCGGGCUUCGGCCUGGCGGCGAGUGGCGAACGGGUGAGUAAUGCAUCGGAACGUGCCCAGUAGUGGGGGAUAGCCCGGCGAAAGCCGGAUUAAUACCGCAUACGACCUGAGGGUGAAAGCGGGGGACCGAAAGGCCUAGCGCUAUUGGAGCGGCCGAUGGCGGAUUAGCCAGUUGGUGGGGUAAAGGCUUACCAAGGCGACGAUCCGUAGCUGGUCUGAGAGGACGACCAGCCACACUGGGACUGAGACACGGCCCAGACUCCUACGGGAGGCAGCAGUGGGGAAUUUUGGACACUGGGGGCAACCCUGAUCCAGCCAUGCCGCGUGCGGGAAGAAGGCCUUCGGGUUGUAAACCGCUUUUGUUCGGGAAGAAAUCCUCUGGGCUAAUACCCCGGGGGGAUGACGGUACUGGAAGAAUAAGCACCGGCUAACUACGUG
rnacentral:rRNA from 1 species